rnacentral:ribozyme from 1 species
AAAAAAAAAAAAAAUGUUUGUUUGUUUGUUUGUUUGUUUGUUACUUGUAGUUUGUUUUUUUGUUUGAUUCGACUUUUUUUAAUGUCUUUUGCUCAAAAGUUUACAAUUUUGACCGGGAUG